rnacentral:lncRNA from 1 species
UGGCCCAUAACCUGUCCUGUGAAAUGUAUGCUUCCUUUCUAGUCACUACGUUUUCUGACUGGUCCUUGGUACUCUUCAAUGGUCCAUGUGCAAUAAGCCAAAUCAUGUUACAGUUGAUUUUAGAUAUAACAAGACUUUCAUAUAUUAGAUAAUAGUAAUACGAACACACUUCAAUUUGGUUGGAAGGGGAAACAAAGUUUAUAUAUAAAAAAAAAAAAAAAAAACUAGAAUAACUUGUUUGGCCAAAGAAAACAUUUGAGACUAAACUUCUCAACAACUCAAUGUGAAAAACUUUUGAGGCUAAGUAUCUCAAUAUAUUAUUCUGGUGCUCAAAUGAGCAAAAACAACAAUCAGGAAGAUACUGAAAACAAUCAGAAAAUCAAAAUUCGCUUCUAAUCCUAUUCAUCAUGCUGCUCUCCGAUAAUCUCAUCAUCCUCUUCAACAACUGGCAUAGGUAGAAUGACAAAUUCCUCCAAUGUCACCUCUGACUCGGUCUUGUAGAUGAAAAUUGCCUCGCUUAGAUAGUCUUUCCAAUGGUUGGAAAGAGCGUCAUAAAAGACCUAAUGGUUCGAGUUUUGAGCAAACAUCUCUCCUUAAGACUCUUGCCAAUAUACGCUCUCCUCUUGUCAACAAGAAUACUAUAUUUAGAUGUUAUAAAAUGUAUAAAUUGUUGUAGUAUAAGUUCUUGAUGGCAUAGGCAUGAGUGACCCUAAGUUCAUAUCUUCUCGUUUCCUUCCAUACAAACUCGAACUCAUUAAUGUGUCACGCAAGGUAAUGUCUGGGUCCAAGUAAAACUCCUCAUAUGCUCGCAAGGUUAAAAUUGUGCAUCAAUCAUGUAGACUUCGUAGCUGUGUAUUUCAUUCUACCUAUAAUGUCCUAGUUCUAGUCCAAUCAUAAGUCCAGUGCAUUCAUAAUAUCAAGACAAAUAAUUUAAAUGUGAACUUUUAUAAUUGCUCAAUUUAAAUUACACGUACCUAGUCUGAAAUAAUUUAAAAUAAUUAUAUUCCUACAAAGUUGGUGUACAAAAGUGGAGUGCCAAAGUGUGUUGGAAAAAAUAAGUCUUCUGUAAUGUAAUACCCGACACUUGGAAACAUAACUUGAGUAAAUUAACGAGUAAUACGAAACUAAAGACAUCACAUACGAAAUGAUUUAGUUAUUUUACCAUAAUAUCAUUAAAAUGUCUCCUAUUUUUAUCUUUAUUUUUCUUUUUAAAUGGUUCAUAAAGGUCCAAUGAUUAAGUGUGUAAUGAAACUGAACUCAAUCCAAUGACAUAGGGUCAUAGACAUUUCAAUGCUAACCAUUCUAGAGAGCAACUUGAUUAUGCAAAUUUUAUUUAUAAAAAAUUCUUGACAUAAUUUAUAAUAAUAAAAUACUUCAAAUCCACAGGUCAACAUAAAAUUCAUCCAAGUACAACAUUUUAAAAAUUUAGAAACUAGCUUCAUUUUGUCACAGCAUCAAUGUAUACAAGAAGGUGCAAACAUUCACCAAAAUUCUUUGACAAGGUGUGUACUAUAGGUAAUUGACACCAAAAAAAUCAAGAAAUUUUUUGUAAUUCAUAUUGUAGGCUUAUAAUUCAUCCACAAAUAAAUUGAUAAAAUUUCAAGUUCAAUCUCAUUUGAUAAGAGUGUCAACCAAUUAGGCAAAAGGAAUAGAAAGAGAUUUACAAAACAUGAGAAAUACUCUGUACUUCUAAUCACAAUUAACAAUCUAAAAGGUCACAAUAAUUUUUGAAUUUAGAGGGCAAACUCAUAAAUAUCAAAAUUUCAUAAUUUAUCUCAACCAAUAAGGGCAUCUAUUUAAUUCAUGAAGUGUACAAAAUAGUUUUCCGAAAAGCACUGCCCUCAUUCACUAAAACUCACAUCACUAACUCCAUAGUUGUGCAAAUGACACGUUCCAAAUCCUAGAGGCAAAAAUCUCAUUCGGCUGUCAAGUGCAAUUGGAUUAACCUUGAAAUUUGAAUUAUACUUC